UACGUAGGGGGCAAGCGUUGUCCGGAUUUAUUGGGCGUAAAGAGCGUGUAGGCGGCCAUGCAGGUCAGCUGUGAAAACUCGAGGCUCAACCUCGAGACGUCGGUUGAAACCGCAUGGCUGGAGUCCGGAAGAGGAGAGUGGAAUUCCCGGUGUAGCGGUGAAAUGCGCAGAUAUCGGGAAGAACACCUAUGGCGAAGGCAGCUCUCUGGGACGGUACUGACGCUGAGACGCGAAAGCGUGGGGAGCAAACAGG
rnacentral:rRNA from 1 species